rnacentral:rRNA from 1 species
GAGCGGAUGAAGGGAGCUUGCUCCCUGAUUUACGGCGGACGGGUGAGUAAUGCCUAGGAAUCUGCCUGGUAGUGGGGGAUAACGUUCCGAAAGGAACGCUAAUACCGCAUACGUCCUACGGGAGAAAGCAGGGGACCUUCGGGCCUUGCGCUAUCAGAUGAGCCUAGGUCGGAUUAGCUAGUUGGUGAGGUAAUGGCUCACCAAGGCGACGAUCCGUAACUGGUCUGAGAGGAUGAUCAGUCACACUGGAACUGAGACACGGUCCAGACUCCUACGGGAGGCAGCAGUGGGGAAUAUUGGACAAUGGGCGAAAGCCUGAUCCAGCCAUGCCGCGUGUGUGAAGAAGGUCUUCGGAUUGUAAAGCACUUUAAGUUGGGAGGAAGGGCGUUUGGCUAAUAUCCAAGCGUUUUGACGUUACCGACAGAAUAAGCACCGGCUAACUUCGUGCCAGCAGCCGCGGUAAUACGAAGGGUGCAAGCGUUAAUCGGAAUUACUGGGCGUAAAGCGCGCGUAGGUGGUUCGUUAAGUUGGAUGUGAAAGCCCCGGGCUCAACCUGGGAACUGCAUCCAAAACUGGCGAGCUAAAGUACGGUAGAGGGUAGUGGAAUUUCCUGUGUAGCGGUGAAAUGCGUAGAUAUAGGAAGGAACACCAGUGGCGAAGGCGACUACCUGGACUGAUACUGACACUGAGGUGCGAAAGCGUGGGGAGCAACAGGAUUAGAUACCCUGGUAGUCCACGCCGUAAACGAUGUCAACUAGCCGUUGGGUUCCUUGAG